rnacentral:lncRNA from 1 species
UUUUUUUUAGGUUUAUGUGCACAUACUUUAACCCGCCCGCCGCGGCGCUUUGGCUGCUCCUCCUCCGGCCUCACGACCUACCACAAUGAGAUUGAUUAGAUUAGAUUAGAUAGAUCAAGAAGUCGUGCGCUUAAUAAUCAUACUUUAGAAAUCAUGAAUUACUCUGGGAGUAGAGCCAGUGAACACUUACUCUGAGAGGGACAAAGUCGACCUCGCUCUGUUGAUCAGCACAUUCAUCAGCCGCAAUAAUAGCAAGGGCGAGCCCCUCCUCCUACGAUCAUAAAAAAGAAAUUGCCAUCAUUUCGUCGCAAAAAAUCGGGCCUCGCGUCCUCACGACGAGGUUAACUAGAUCGAUCAACAAGUCGUGCGCUUAUUCGUUACAAAAUCAUGACUCUAUUGAAUCUGAAGUAAGUAGUAUAACAAGUGAAAAGCACUUACUCUGAGUCUGAGAGGAGGAACAUAGUCGACCUCGCUGUCUGGAUCAUCGCAUUCGUCGACCUCCAUAGGAUGUUGGUCAGCGAGAACAGCGAGCGCAAGCCCCUCGUC